GAGUAACACGUGGAUAACCUACCUAUAAGACUGGGAUAACGUUCGGGAAACCGGAGCUAAUACCGGAUAAUAUAUUGAACCGCAUGGUUCAAUAGUGAAAGACGGUUUUGCUGUCACUUAUAGAUGGAUCCGCGCCGCAUUAGCUAGUUGGUAAGGUAACGGCUUACCAAGGCAACGAUGCGUAGCCGACCUGANAGGGUGAUCGGCCACACUGGAACUGAGACACGGUCCAGAACUCCUACGGGAGGCAGCAGGC
rnacentral:rRNA from 1 species